rnacentral:rRNA from 1 species
UACGUAGGGUCCGAGCGUUGUCCGGAAUUACUGGGCGUAAAGAGCUCGUAGGUGGUUUGUCGCGUUGUUCGUGAAAACUCACAGCUCAACUGUGGGCGUGCGGGCGAUACGGGCAGACUAGAGUACUGCAGGGGAGACUGGAAUUCCUGGUGUAGCGGUGGAAUGCGCAGAUAUCAGGAGGAACACCGGUGGCGAAGGCGGUCUGCUGGGCAGUUUCUGACACUGAUGCGCGACAGCGUGGGGAGCAAACAGG